GCAACUCGACUACAUGAAGCUGGAAUCGCUAGUAAUCGCGAAUCAGAAUGUCGCGGUGAAUACGUUCCCGGGUCUUGUACACACCGCCCGUCACACCAUGGGAGUCAGUAACGCCCGAAGUCAGUGACCCAACCAUAAGGAGGGAGCUGCCGAAGGCGGGACCGAUAACUGGGGGUGAAGUCGUAACAAGGUACC
rnacentral:rRNA from 1 species